AGGGGGAGGGUAAGAAUAGUAUGGGAAAUGUAGAAGCUAAAGAACUUAUGACACAUGGACAUGAACUAAAGGGGGUGAAUGCGGGUGAGAGGGGGUGUGUGGAGCAGAGGGGAAUAAAGGGGGGAAAUGGGACAAUUGUAAUAGCAUAAUCAAUAAAGUAUAUUU